rnacentral:tRNA from 1 species
GAGGUCUUGGGGUAAUAGAAUCCUACUCGCCUCCAGAGCGAGUGAUGGGAGUGCAAAUCUCUCAGACCUCA